rnacentral:lncRNA from 1 species
GUCAAAAUACUACAUAUAGCCCGUGUACAAAUUCGUCACCUUGUGUACACGUCUUCCACAUAGUACAAUUAACACACAACAACCCAAAUCCUAAAGGGUAGUUCUCUCACAUAAAGUUAGGCAAGAUUCUUACCUCAACUAGGCCAAAUCAACCUUCGAAAAUAUCUUUUCCCCUAAAAUUUGCCUCCACACGGCUCAAAUCUAAGCAAAAAUGAAUGCAAGGUAUACCAAUUACGAUAGAUAAAGCUAUGAUUUUUACAAGUUCCCAAAACGUUAACAAAAUUCAAUCCCGGGUCUGUUGCACCCUAUUUUGCACUAGUCAAAAUAAGAUUCAACAUGUGGUUUCCCUGUUGUUGAUAAAAGAGAGUCACCACCUAAUAUUUAAAGGUAUACUUGGGUGCCUAUUUAAUUACUAAAGGUUGUAUUCUUUAUUGGUCUACUAACCGGUGAGAUCAUGGGUAAUGGUUCUUGUUCUUCUAAGGGAAGGUGUUAGACACCCUUUAAAAUCUACCUGAGGUAGCUCCAUAGGACUUAGACUAGAUUUGAAAUUAAUUAUUUUUAAUAUGCCUUAACUAGUUCUCUAAGAGUAUAGCUUACCAUAUAUUAGGAUACAAUAUCUAUAAGGGGAGAGUAUGGUUUAAAGAAGAUGGAUUUAAAGAAAAGUCUUUAGGAAAUUAGUCUUAGUAUAUAUAAGCUUAAAAAGAACUUUGAAAGACGGGAACAUUUGUAUAAAUGCGAAAAGGAAAACCAAGUUAAAGCCUUUUAUAUCUUAAAUCAUGGAGCUUCGGGUCAUUCUAACAUGGUAAAAAGGUGUUAUAAAAAUGAUUCUAAGAUAUACCUUGGUCUUGAAGUAGAAAACUAUUUGAAAGCCUUUGUUUUAGGGCAACAACACAUUAAUCGUUCGAAAUAGUUGAUUCCUUUUAGAAAGAUCAAAUUCACGACAAUUCUGAUUUUUUUGAAAGAGAGACAACUGCCUUUGUUAAGCUUUUGGCUUAAAAUAUCUUUAAGAAAAGAGUUAGUAAAGCAUGAUAUAUUAACAACAACUUACGAUUAGCGGAUAUGAAAUUGAUUUCUAACUAAGGCUUCUUUUUAAUACUAUGUUCUUUAGGCUUGCCUAAGUCAUUCUAUGAAUUAAAAGAUAAGGAUAGACAUUCAACCCAAGAUAUACUUAUCACAUACAUAAUGGGAUAUAACAAUAGAAAAUAGCAACAAGCAAUGACAUAGUGCAACUGAGGAAUGACGAAACAUUAAGUAAAGAGGUGAAGGGAAAGAAGUGACUCUGGGAGGUUUGGGCCUCAAAAGGAAAGACCAGCAGUAACAAAUGACGAGCGAUGGCAGACCCUUGGACCAUAGUAGAGUUGGACUUGGGCCUGAGUUCUUAAAGAACCCAACAGUCCCAAAUCAUUUGUACAUGCCAAGAAAUAAAAAAGGUCAUUAGAAUAACAGUAUAGUAUACAAAUCUAUAUAUAAAAUUCUCAAUCAAAGACCAAGAGAAAUCACUGAUAGUGUUUACACGAUAAGCAAAUCAUACUAAGCAAAGAUUGAAAGAAGAAGUUACUAACAGUACCUAAAUGUUAAGGGAAUCAUGCUAAUGUGGAGGUUGUGUAUAGUGAGAUCCACACUGAAUAUCUUUCGUUACCAUUAAACACCAAACCCAGAGAGAGUAAUAAGUAUCAAUGAAUUAAGGGCUAAGGAGAGAGUUCUAUUCAAGGCCGAUGCCCCCAUUAAAUCCCCCGACACUUCAAAGUUCCCAAGGGUCUCAAGGCCUAGGUCAAUGCUUGUGCCGGGGAGAGCAACCCAACCUAGAGUUAAACUCUACUCCUAAAUACCUUUAACCACUAACGACUAACUCUUCCCUAUACGUGUGAAUGCCAAUGAGGUCCUCUCAAUGCAAACCACCCACUAUGACAUUUCCUACCACAGGAUCCUACUUUCCUUAGCAGAAUAACACAAAAAUAGAUACAUAGAACAAUCCAUAUACUUCAGCAUUAAAUAAGUGAAGCACACAUAUGAACAGGUUUUGAAAAUAAGACUUCUAGGCACAUAUGGCAACAUGAAUACUUAUGCUGUUAUUAUUGAAAAUUAGACAACAAGAAUCAUACAUCUCAUAGACAAAUAAGGCACAUAGUUUGGAAUUAUAACAGCUUUAGGAUACAGAGACUAAUGCCUUAACAUUGAUCACAGAUGAGCAUGCACUUAGGUUAAUAACAUUACUUGAAUCCCUUACGAUCAUUAAUACAGAUUCAUACAAUGAUACAAGUAGGUUAUUGCAUUCAAACAAUAACAGUAGAAGGUUUUCGUUACACCAGAUUCAGUCCAGAAUAACAAAGGAAAGAAAAGACUGAGUAUAAGUCUAAAACAAUGUUCAAAAUAUGGAGUCAUAAAGGAUAAGCAAAAGUUCAUGCCAAGCUCCCACACAUACAUAGAUUUCAAUCAAGAUUAUGAUUUCACAAGAUAAGAUGAACCCUAAACAUUGAAGAAUCAGGUUGUCAGUAUCAUUAGGGGAGUUAAGAAUAUGGGAAACAUUACACUUAACAGACUUAAAUCAGCAACACAUGCUUGGUUGGAUAGCUAAACAUGAUGGAGUCAUAUUCAAUUUACAAAAAUAAUCAACAGGGCACAACUAUAGUCUGUCUCAUAGGAGAUAGACUGAUCACGACAAAUUCUACUGAAAUUCAAAGGAAAAUCCAUCCCAAUAGGACUGUUUACAAGCUAACAGUUAGAUAUGAACGUAAAGGACUCUUGAUGAGGAUUCAGAGAACACUUAAGGACUAAUAAACAUUUAUGAAAGCAUUUCAUAAGACUUAACCUAGUGAGGCAGGGUUAUCCUAUGUAUUUCAUAUGUACCCUAGCUAAGGUUAUCUAACAACAUCCCACAUUUAGCAUGACAGAACCUAAAGGAAUAUGGCAUAUUAAACAUGAAGACGACAAUAACAACCCUAAGUAUAGCAUGAUAGAACCCAAAAAUAUGGCAUGAUGAACAAAAAAGCUUAAGUAGAAUAGCAUGACUUAGAAGGGUGCUGCAUGUUAAACAUGAUGACUAUAGCAGAAUCUAGAUACAGAACUCAGGAGAAUAUAACAUGAUGAAUCAUGAGUAUUUAUAAUAGAACAUUAUGUGAAACAAAUUUCAGAAUACAACAUGAUGAGCAUGAAGGUUAUAACAGAGCAUUAAGUGGAAUAAAACUCAAAAUGCAACAUGAAGAUUAUGAAUGUUGUAACAGGACCUUAACAGAACUCAAAAUGCAGCAUUAAGAUUAUAACAAAACAUUAGAGUAAGGUCUGAGGUUUUAGGCAGAUGUGAGAAAUCAUCAAGUUAAAUAACUUAAACACAUAGGCUAUUCAAUACAAAAAAUGAGGCCAUUAAAGUCACACAACUACCUAAUUAACAUUAAAUAAAUACAACAACUUAUCAUAGAGCAUUAACAAGUCACAGUGCACCAAAAUAAGUAAUUAAAGGCUGAAUAAAUAUUAUAGACUAAGCAGUUAACCAAGAAAAAUAAUAACACGUUCAUGAUUUUAAAUGAAGUUUAAGAGAGAGAGGACGGAGGCAUACUGACCUCAUCUUGAGCAGCAACCCAAACAAAAGGUUCUUGUUUAGCCGUAUAGGAUCAAGAAAUCACCCGACCAAUACAAUGCUCAGAAUCAGAGAGAAACCAGAAACUAAUUAGAACCCUAGCUCAAUUUACUACUCAGAAAUAAAAGUGAGAUUUUUUCUAAGAAAUUUCGUGAUAGCUUCCUGUGCCUAUUAGCUCUACAGGUUCAGCAUUUUAGGUUUUCUUGUUGUUUUCUCAUCUGGUUGGUGAGAGCAUUGAAAGCUCCUUUAUAGUUCCAUUAAUGGCUCCAAUAGUGGAAGAUGAUGACUACAAGAUGAUGCAAGCAUAGGCGAGUGAAAAUCAGAGAGACAUAGGGGGAAAUCGUUAGGGAAUUUACCUGAGAGGAGGGAAGAUAACGGUUGAGGUACGAGAGACCAUUGGUUAGAACCUUAAUACCUAGAGGUCAUUGCAUUUGACCUUUGGGUGUCUAAUAUCAACAUUGAAGCCAGCUAGCACCUCAUGCUCACUUUGAUUUGAAAAGACAGAGGAGGAGAUCUGGCGAGUUAAAGCUUCACACUUUUGGUCUGACUUCUUCAAAUAGGGCUAUUGAGAUUAAGUGAUGAAAAUUGAAAGGAAGUGAUGGGUUUCAUAGUACAGAGACAGAACGGAUGGCCAUGCAUGCCAUAGAUUUGAAAGAUCGAUGGUGAGUUGAGGUUUCAUCUUUGAAGAUUAGGGUUUGGAUUUGAGGGGUUUUGAGGUGAAACGAUGAGACGAGGAAGUUAUUGGCGGGAAUCACAGAUACGAGGGAUAGAAGGUAUGAAUCUUUGGUUGAUUUGAAGCCUUGCACAAAUUUGUGCAAGGUUUCUUUGCUGGACAUGUCUGUGAGAUUGAGAGAAGUGAGAGAGAAAAGGGAAAGAAGGGCGGCGGGGUUAAAGGAUAAAUGAUUUAGGGUUAAGGGAUUGGGGUUGGUCUCUGAGGGUUAUGAUUGAGAGAUGGAA